GUAGGGAAUCUUCGGCAAUGGACGAAAGUCUGACCGAGCAACGCCGCGUGAGUGAAGAAGGUUUUCGGAUCGUAAAACUCUGUUGUUAGAGAAGAAUGUUGAUUAGAGUGGAAAAUUAAUCAAGUGACGGUAUCUAACCAGAAAGGGACGGCUAACUACGUGCCAGCAGCCGCGGUAAUACGUAGGUCCCGAGCGUUGUCCGGAUUUAUUGGGCGUAAAGCGAGCGCAGGUGGUUUAAUAAGUCUGAUGUAAAAGGCAGUGGCUCAACCAUUGUGUGCAUUGGAAACUGUUAGACUUGAGUGCAGUAGAGGAGAGUGGAAUUCCAUGUGUAGCGGUGAAAUGCGUAGAUAUAUGGAGGAACACCGGUGGCGAAAGCGGCUCUCUGGACUGUCACUGACACUGAGGCUCGAAAGCGUGGGUAGCAAACAGGAUUAGAAACCCCUGUAGUCC
rnacentral:rRNA from 1 species